UGGUAGAGUACUAGCCUUGAGCUGAAGAGCUGAGGAACAGCACCCAGGCCUAGAGUUCAGGACCCAGGACUAGGGGGAGGUGGGGAGCAUUUGCACAAGAUAUACACUGAAGAAGGCAUAAGGUUGAGGAGGUAAUUGGAAGCUGAAACUCAGCCUGUCUGCAAUUUGCAAAGCUGGGAGGCCCUGAGUUAUUUUGUACCCUUACCUGCUAAGGAAGCCCUGCCCUACAAUUCUCCAAAUUUUGCUCUCUCAAAACCUUAUACUGAGAAAAUGCAACAGCUUCAUAAAGAUGAAGAAAAAUUAUGUUUUCUGUUCCCUCAAUGCCACAGAUUCUCAAUGGCAUUUGGAGUCAGCAGUGUUUCACUCAUGCAAGUGUUUUUGCCCAUGAAGGUUCUGCCUAAGGCUGACAAGAAACUAGGAUGUAUCAUUUUCUUCUUUUUAUACUCCCCACCUCCCUUUAAUACAAGCACAAGGGAAAAGCCAAAAUCCUUAGGGAAAAAAAUCACAUUUUAUGAAUCACCCUUAUUUAUAAUUAUAAAAAUAGAUAUAAAUAAAAAUAGCAGAAUAUAAUUAUUAAAUAUUCAGUAUACAAGAGUCGUCAUCACCCCAUCCAGUGAGGAUUGGACAAAAUUGGCUAAUAAGUCAGAAGGUUUAACUGGCCAAGAAAGUGAUAACUACAUAAAAGUGAAACAGACAUUUAGUGCUGGUCACAGGACAUGCUUGAAAAUGCUACAAUCACAGAAAGUAUAACAUGGGAGAUCUAAAAGGCCCCAGUAGUGACCCAUAACAUCUCCAGUUAAACCACUCUGUGUCAUCACAGUCCACAGUUUUAGGGAACUGUUUAGACUUGUAGUCACUCAGACACAG